GGUACUACAAGAGAUUCGCACAGCGUCAGAGAGGCGCUGGGUCAGGAAGAGCGAGGGGCAGUUUCUCUGCAAAAAAGGAAAUGACAAAAGAGGGAAAAGGAAUUUUUUUACGGAAUUCAAAAAACUGGAUGAAUCAGGUCUCGUCCAGAAGACUGCCUUCUUUUUUAAGAGGACAGGGGUAAAACCAUCAGAGUUAUCCUGGGACUGGAGUAAGAAGAUGAAGGGGGCAUUUCUCUGCAAUCAACACUAUUAGAUAAAAGGCCAAAAUGUGCCAUUUUUAAUCCAAAUGUACUUUAAAACUUAACUUUUUUUACCAGGUAUACUUGAUAGCAUGCAAGGCUACUAAAAAAAACCCAACAGGUUUAGAUGGAAUGGUUAUCAGGAUGCGAGUACCAAAUGUGAUGCAGGGUAUAUGAAAGUCGGCAGCAGAGUAUGCAACCAAUAUUUUACUGUUGAAACCCCAAACAGACAUCUUCAGGAGCCAUGAACACAUCUGAGGUAUCACUGAUGUAUAUACUGAGGAUGGGGUGGGAUACCUUUCCAACAACAGCAUAUACCACCGUGUGGUAGAUCAUUCACAGUGCUACUCUGUUUAAAUUUUUCAAAAAGCUAUAAAAGGAGGACAGGAAGAAGGAGAAACAAGCCUGAUUGCGGAAUAUGUAAUGUUGUGCACUACAACACAACAUUUAAUAAACAGAAUCAAAGUCCA